rnacentral:rRNA from 1 species
AUUGACCUCUUUCGGCAGGCUGCCGCCAUGCAAGUCGAGCGGGGUGAUGGUUGUUGCACUAGCCGUUAGCGGCGGACGGGUGAGUAAUGCAUAGGCAUCUGCCACUUAUAGGGGGACCAGCGCUCGAAAGGCAUGCUCAUACCGCCUCCGUCCUACGGGCCCCCUCAGGGGAUCCCUUUUGACCUUGCGCUAAUAGAUGAGCCUAAGUCGGAUUAGCUAGUUGGUGGGGUAAAGGCCUACCAAGGCGACGAUCUGUAGCGGGUCUGAGAGGAUGAUCCGCCACACUGGGACUGAGACACGGCCCAGACUCCUACGGGAGGCAGCAGUGGGGAAUAUUGGACAAUGGGGGGAACACGUAUGCAGCCAUGAAGAGUGUGUGAAGAAGGCCUUAUGGUUGGAAAGCACUUUAAGCGAGGAGGAGGCUCUUUUGGUUAAUACCCAAGAUGAGUGGACGUUACUCGCAGAAUAAGCACCGGCUAACUCUGUGCCAGCCGCCGCAGUAA